CCACCAGAAACGUGUGAGCGGGAGUGUUCGGGCUAGAGAAAUGACUUGCCAGACCGCCCCGCGCUACACCAUGGACAAGACUACACAGAAGUCCGCCACUUCGACUAAGGACGACAGCUGCAUGGCCACUCAGUGGAGUAUGUAUGAUGAAUACCGUACACUCAACGCCUCUGGUGAG